GAUCAUGGCUUAGGAUGAACGCUAGCUACAGGCUUAACACAUGCAAGUCGAGGGGCAGCAUGGUCUUAGCUUGCUAAGGCCGAUGGCGACCGGCGCACGGGUGAGUAACACGUAUCCAACCUGCCGUCUACUCUUGGACAGCCUUCUGAAAGGAAGAUUAAUACAAGAUGGCAUCAUGAGUCCGCAUGUUCACAUGAUUAAAGGUAUUCCGGUAGACGAUGGGAA
rnacentral:rRNA from 1 species